CAGGACGAACGCUGGCGGCGUGCCUAAUACAUGCAAGUCGAACGGUCUUUCUAUGGAAGCUUGCUUCCACUGAGAAGAUAGUGGCGAACGGGUGAGUAACACGUGGGUAACCUGCCCAUAAGAGGGGGAUAACAUCCGGAAACGGGUGCUAAUACCGCAUAGUUUUCUUGACCGCAUGAUCGGGAAAGGAAAGACGGCCUUUGUGCUGUCGCUUAUGGAUGGACCCGCGGCGUAUUAGUUAGUUGGUGAGGUAACGGCUCACCAAGACGAUGAUACGUAGCCGACCUGAGAGGGUGAUCGGCCACAUUGGGACUGAGACACGGCCCAAACUCCUACGGGAGGCAGCAGUAGGGAAUCUUCCGCAAUGGACGAAAGUCUGACGGAGCAACGCCGCGUGAGUGAAAGAAGGUUUUCGGAUCGUAAAACUCUGUUGUCAGAGAAGAACAAGUUGGAGAGUAACUGCUCCAGCCUUGACGGUAUCUGACCAGAAAGCCACGGCUAACUACGUGCCAGCCGCGGC
rnacentral:rRNA from 1 species